CUGUUUCGGCAAGGGGGUCAUCCCGACUUACCAACCCGAUGCAAACUGCGAAUACCGGAGAAUGUUAUCACGGGAGACACACGGCGGGUGCUAACGUCCGUCGUGAAGAGGGAAACAACCCAGACCGCCAGCUAAGGUCCCAAAGUCAUGGUUAAGUGGGAAACGAUGUGGGAAGGCCCAGACAGCCAGGAUGUUGGCUUAGAAGCAGCCAUCAUUUAAAGAAAGCGUAAUAGCUCACUGGUCGAGUCGGCCUGCGCGGAAGAUGUAACGGGGCUAAACCAUGCACCGAAGCUGCGGCAGCGACGCUGAUGCGUUGUUGGGUAGGGGAGCGUUCUGUAAGCCUGUGAAGGUGUGCUGUGAGGCAUGCUGGAGGUAUCAGAAGUGCGAAUGCUGACAUAAGUAACGAUAAAGCGGGUGAAAAGCCCGCUCGCCGGAAGACCAAGGGUUCCUGUCCAACGUUAAUCGGGGCAGGGUGAGUCGACCCCUAAGGCGAGGCCGAAAGGCGUAGUCGAUGGGAAACAGGUUAAUAUUCCUGUACUUGGUGUUACUGCGAAGGGGGGACGGAGAAGGCUAUGUUGGCCGGGCGACGGUUGUCCCGGUUUAAGCGUGUAGGCUGGUUUUCCAGGCAAAUCCGGAAAAUCAAGGCUGAGGCGUGAUGACGAG
rnacentral:rRNA from 1 species